CACAGCUUGCUCUGUGGGUGGCGAGUGGCGGACGGGUGAGGAAUACAUGGGAAUCUGCCCGGUCGUGGGGGAUAACGUAUGGAAACGUACGCUAAUACCGCACGCGCCCUUCGGGGGAAAGCCGGGGAUCUUCGGACCUGGCGCGAUUGGAUGAGCCCAUGUCGGAUUAUCUAGUUGGGGGGGUAAUGGCCCACCAAGGCGACGAUCCGUACCUGGUCUGAGAGGAUGAUCAGCCACACUGGAACUGAGACACGGUCCAGACUCCUACGGGAGGCAGCAAUAGGGAAUAUUGGACAAUGGGCGCAAGCCUGAUCCGGCCAUGCCGCGUGUGUGAAGAAGGCCUUCGGGUUGUAAAGCACUUUUAUCCGGAAAGAAAAGCGCUGGGUUAAUACCCUGGUGUUCUGACGGUACCGGAAGAAUAAGCACCGGCUAACUUCGUGCCAGCAGCCGCGGUAAUAC
rnacentral:rRNA from 1 species